UACGGAGGGGGCUAGCGUUGUUCGGAAUUACUGGGCGCAAAGCGCACGUAGGCGGCUUUGUAAGUUAGAGGUGAAAGCCCGGAGCUCAACUCCGGAAUUGCCUUUAAGACUGCAUCGCUCGAAUCAUGGAGAGGUGAGUGGAAUUCCGAGUGUAGAGGUGAAAUUCGUAGAUAUUCGGAAGAACACCAGUGGCGAAGGCGACUCACUGGACAUGUAUUGACGCUGAGUGCGAAAGCGUGGGGAGCAACAGG
rnacentral:rRNA from 1 species